UUAAUUGAAGCCAAAAAAGAGGCUUAUCACUGUUAAUGAUAGAACUGAAUAUAUCAUUCCAAUUAAA
rnacentral:tRNA from 1 species